GACAGAGGGUGCAAACGUUGCUCGGAAUUACUGGGCGUAAAGCGCACGUAGGCGGAUCAGCAAGUUAGGGGUGAAAUCCCGGGGCUCAACCCCGGAACUGCCUUUAAAACUGUUGGUCUGGAGGUCGAGAGAGGUGAGUGGAAUUCCGAGUGUAGAGGUGAAAUUCGUAGAUAUUCGGAGGAACACCAGUGGCGAAGGCGGCUCACUGGCUCGAUACUGACGCUGAGGUGCGAAAGCGUGGGGAGCAAACAGG
rnacentral:rRNA from 1 species